ACCCAGGGGUGGCAGUUUGUGGGGACCUUCCUGAGUGGGGGCUGGCGGGCUGUUCCAGGAAAGUGCAGGACAUCGUGAGAGGUCUGCUGCUGGCCUUUGGGGCUUCAAGAACAACGCACUCUUCCUGAACACAGGGCUUUGCUCAGAGGACAAUCCUGCCCCACGCCACAGCCCAGCAUGGGCAAGCUCUCAGCUCCCGCUACAGACACCCCAGCAGACAGAGUCCCGGGGAAUGCUGGACAGCGUUCUGCAGCCUAAAAGGAACCAUCUACUAAGGAGCUAGGGCACUCAGGAGCUCUACAGCCGUGAUCUGACCUACACACAGGCACGUCACUGACAUGCGCGCCACGCCACGCAGCGUUUUGACUCUGUCCUGAGAUGUGAGCUCUCAGCGCCCAGUUCUCUGAGAGAAAGGUGAGUCUCAGGGGACCCAGAGCGCCUGAGAUCCCAGGAUGAGGAAGCGUAGAGCCCAGACCUGACC
rnacentral:lncRNA from 1 species